rnacentral:rRNA from 1 species
ACGGAAGGCAGCAGUGGGGAAUAUUGGGCAAUGGGGGAAACCCUGACCCAGCAACGCCGCGUGAAGGAAGAAGGCCUUCGGGUUGUAAACUUCUUUUAAGAGGGACGAACAAAUGACGGUACCUCUUGAAUAAGCUCCGGCUAACUACGUGCCAGCAGCCGCGGUAAUACGUAGGGAGCAAGCGUUAUCCGGAUUUACUGGGUGUAAAGGGCGUGUAGGCGGGACAUCAAGUCAGAUGUGAAAGCACGAGGCUUAACUUCGGGUCUGCAUUUGAAACUGACGUUCUUGAGUGUUGGAGAGGCUAACGGAGCUCCUAGUGUAGCGGUGAAAUGCGUAGAUAUUAGGAAGAACACCAGUGGCGAAGGCGGUUAGCUGGACAAUAACUGACGCUGAGGCGCGAAAGCGUGGGGAGCAAACAGGAUUAGAUACCCUGGUA